rnacentral:lncRNA from 1 species
UCACCCAUAGCGAGCGGUAGAGGCAAAUCACCGAGUUAGGGGCUUUCGCUAGGGCUGCAGCUGUGAGCCGACGUUGCAACAAAUUUUUUGGUCCACUCAUCUCAGGUUGCCGUCUUGGCGCUCAAAGGUGGGGGUGCGGUGGGGGUGGGGGGAGAAUCCUAUGUUCUUCAUCAUCUAGUGAUCAUCGUACUUUGUAAGAAUAAAUUUACUUUCGCUCUUCUAACGGUGCCAUGAGAUUAGAGAGUUUUAUAUCCUCGCAGAUCCGAUAAUUCGGAUCUGUCGAGUUUAUAUUGGUGUGUCAAACCUUUUUUGUUGAUUUGAUUCUUCGUGGAGUUGAAAUCUUUCAUCUAGAAAAUGAUGAAGAUAUUGUGAUUCGAUGACAUGUAGUUCUACGGAAUCAUCUCCGGCCCAAGUACGUGCAUCAAUCAAGGGUUUCCAUAUUUUUGGAUAGAUCACUCAAGGUGCUUUUAAAAGCCAUUAUUGAUAAUAUUCGUGCAGGCGAAAGAGUGACAACGCCGUUUCUCAAGUCCAAUUGCAGCCUCUUUAUUGAGUUCUUUGAAGUAUUUCUUCUAGGAGAGAUUGAUACAACGAAGAAGGUGUUUUCAAGAGAUUUCAUUGUAAUUCUUAUCGUAGAAGUUACUUUGUAUUUUUUUGAAUCUUAGAUCCAAAUCA